rnacentral:rRNA from 1 species
GGGCCCGCACAAGCGGUGGAGUAUGUGGUUUAAUUCGAUGCAACGCGAAGAACCUUACCAGGGUUUGACAUCCUGCGAAUCUCUUGGAAACAGGAGAGUGCCUUCGGGAACGCAGUGACAGGUGGUGCAUGGCUGUCGUCAGCUCGUGUCGUGAGAUGUUGGGUUAAGUCCCGCAACGAGCGCAACCCACGUCUUUAGUUGCCAGCAUUUAGUUGGGCACUCUAGAGAGACUGCCGGUGAUAAACCGGAGGAAGGUGGGGAUGACGUCAAAUCAUCACGGCCCUUACAUCCUGGGCUACACACGUACUACAAUGCUACGGACAAAGGGCAGCAAGUUCGCGAGGACAAGCAAAUCCCAUAAACCGUGGCUCAGUUCAGAUCGUAGGCUGCAACUCGCCUACGUGAAGGCGGAAUCGCUAGUAAUCGC